CAAAAUGUAGCGCACAUUUCUCAGCAACAUUAGAAGCAGGAUAAAUGUGUUGAUUUGAAGGACAGACUGACAGACUGGUAAGUCAGAACAAAUUCUUAUUAACAAUGACGGCCUACCCCGGCCAAACCUUGACGACGCUGGGCCAAUUGUGCGCCGCCCUAUGGGACUCCCAACCAUGCAGCCUGGACUCUAACCAGGUACUGCAGUGACGCAAGAGGCGGGACUCUGCACCACUCGGGAGGUGGCUGAGCUGAAACAGAAAGUAAAGUUGUUCUUUUGUUCAGGAUCCAUUUUGAGACGACAGAGCAGAAAACACUAUAUGGAGACUAUUGAAAAAUAAAGAUCCAUUUUGAGACGACAGAGCAGAAGACGCUAUAUGGAGAUUACUGACAAAUAAUGAGGAGCAGCCAAAAACUGAAGCAAGAUUCAGUACAACGUCAUGAGUCACUGCUGUUGAAUGCAUCUGACUGUUGAAUCUCCAACCACCUCAGAGAUCAGUCUCUCCAGUACCCAGUCAUCUGUCCAUGAAGAGCGACUUCUCUAUGGAUCGUCCAAUACAUUUUAGUGAUGGAUCAGGGACCUUUGACCCCAGGAACACAUCAACAACAGCCACCCUCGAAGCAUCGUUACCCAUCGCUCCACAAAAGCCGCAGCCCUUGCAGAGCAAAGGGGAACAACUACUUCAAGGUCUCAGAGCGAGUGACAUCACCGAUUGAAACGCUAUUAGCGUGCACCGGGUAGUCAGCCUGCCACACAGGCUCCUCGUGGAGUGCAAUGUAAGGCAGGUGGUUAGAGCGUUGGACUAGUAACCAGAAGGUUGCAAAAACGAAUCCCCGAGCUGACAAGGUAAAAAUCUGUCAUUCUGCCCCUGAACAAGGCAGUUAACCCACUGUUGCUAGGCCGUCAUUGGAAAUAAGAAUGUGUUCUUAACUGACUUGCCUAGUUAAACAAAGGUGUAAAAAGAAAUCG
rnacentral:lncRNA from 1 species